CGCCCAUCAGCUAGCCCCUCCCCUAAAAACAACAAACCCCCAUUAAUAACCCCAAACCCACUUUAACUAACCUAAACAAAUCAUUUUAUCCCCUGAGUAUAGGCGAAAGAAAAGGAACCAUCGGCGCAAUAGAAAAAGUACCGCAAGGGAACGCUGAAAGAGAAAUGAAAUAACCCAGUUAAGCUACAAAAAGCAGAGAUCACACCUCGUACCUUUUGCAUCAUGAUUUAGCUAGAAAACCUCAAGCAAAGAGCACUUUAGUUUGAUUCCCCGAAACUAGGUGAGCUACUCCAAGACAGCCUAUCAUUAGGGCCAACCCGUCUCUGUGGCAAAAGAGUGGGAAGAGCUUCGAGUAGAGGUGACAGACCUAUCGAACCUAGUUAUAGCUGGUUACCUGAGAAUUGGAUAGAAGUUCAGCCUCUCGGCUUCUUCAUCUCCUGGCCCCUACGCCCCCUCUACACCAAAGAACCACCGAGAGAGUUAAUCAAAGGGGGUACAGCCCCUUUGAUACAAGAAACAACUUUACCAGGAGGAUUAAGAUCAUAAUUAAACCAAGGCAUAAUGUUCUGGUGGGCCUAAAAGCAGCCACCCCCAAAGAAAGCGUUAAAGCUCAGACAUACCUCCGCCCGAUAUCCCGAUAACUAUUUCUUAAUCCCCUAACUCUAUCAGGCCGCCCCAUGCAGUCAUGGGAGCGAUCAUGCUAAAAUGAGUAAUAAGAGGGCUACGCCCCUCUCCUUGCACACGUGUAAAUCGGAACGAACCCCCACCGAACCUUAACGGCCCCAAAAUAAAGAGGGUAUUGAACAACAAACCUGCUAACUAGAAAACUAUUCACAUAAACAACCGUUAACCCCACACUGGUGUGCCCCCAAGGAAAGACUAAAAGAAAAGAGAAGGAACUCGGCAAACAUAUACGCCUCGCCUGUUUACCAAAAACAUCGCCUCUUGCUAAACCCACAAAUAAGAGGUCCCGCCUGCCCUGUGACUAUAAGUUUAACGGCCGCGGUAUUUUAACCGUGCAAAGGUAGCGCAAUCACUUGUCCUUUAAAUGAAGACCUGUAUGAAUGGCACGACGAGGGCUUGACUGUCUCCUCUUUCCAGUCAAUGAAAUUGAUCUCCCCGUGCAGAAGCGGGGAUUCUCCCAUAAGACGAGAAGACCCUAUGGAGCUUUAGACACCAAGGCAGACCAUGUUAAACACACCCAAACACGGAACCAAACUAAAUGAUACCUGCCAGAUGUCUUUGGUUGGGGCGACCACGGGGAACACGAAACCCCCGCGCGGAACGGAAGCACCUCCUUCUACAACCAAGAGUUCCCACUCCAAUAAACAGAAUUUCUGACCCAUAUGAUCCGGCAACGCCGAUCAACGGACCGAGUUACCCUAGGGAUAACAGCGCAAUCCCCUUCUAGAGCCCAUAUCGACAAGGGGGUUUACGACCUCGAUGUUGGAUCAGGACAUCCUAAUGGUGCAGCCGCUAUUAAGGGUUCGUUUGUUCAACGAUUAAAGUCCUACGUGAUCUGAGUUCAGACCGGAGUAAUCCAGGUCAGUUUCUAUCUAUGAUAUGAUUCUUUCUAGUACGAAAGGACCGAAAGAAAGAGGCCCAUGCUCCCAGUAUGCCUCACCCCCACCUGAUGAAAACAUCUAAAACAGGCAAGAGGGCAUACGCCCAUGCCUAAGAAAACGGCAU
rnacentral:rRNA from 1 species